rnacentral:rRNA from 1 species
UACGUAGGGGGCUAGCGUUGUCCGGAAUCAUUGGGCGUAAAGCGCGCGUAGGCGGCCCGGUAAGUCCGCUGUGAAAGUCAAAGGCUCAACCUUUGAAUGUCAGCGGAUACUGCCGGGCUAGAGUCCGGAAGAGGCGAGUGGAACUCCUGGUGUAGCGGUGGAAUGCGCAGAUAUCAGGAAGAACACCAACGGCGAGGGCAGCUCGCUGGGACGGAACUGACGCUGAGGCGCGAAAGCGUGGGGAGCGAACAGG